ensembl:lncRNA
GCUGACAAAAUGCGACUUUAAAGCUGAGCAACACCACCCUCCUCUCUUUGCAUCCGCAGAGGGAAGAUGCAGCCCCAGCAUAACACAGCAUAACACGGGGCUUCUGACCACGUGGAAGCGCACAGAGUUUGAAGGAAAGAAGAUAAAAGUACUCUUCUUGCUUUUCAUCUUAGAAAACCUGAAAUGAUCUUUUCUGAGCAGUUCUGGAGUGGCAAUGAAGGGACACAUGCACCCAACAAGCAGACCUGGAGCUGAAGCCGUUGGCACCCAAAGAGUUCUGCCCAGAUGUGUGCCCGCCUUCUGCUCAGAGCAGCAGAGCCGAUGAAACACACACUGCACAGCAGCUUGCGAUGCAUGGGAAAGGCUGGACGGGCUGGAGCAGCUCCUCCGAGCUCCUGGUGUACAACAGCACAAAAUGCAAUUGGUCAGAGCGUGAUCAGACUCGCAUAGUUGGAAUACCAAAGGAGCGAGUCACCUUCCACUCUCGCUGUAGCCAGCGUUAGGAAGAGAUGUCCAGGUCUGCAACAGACUGUUUUCUCCUUUUGUUUGGAUGUGAAGGGUUCUGUUCUUCACAGAAGCAGGAACAGACCCCCCACUCAUUGAUUUGCAUCCAGGAAACGGAAGGUAACUGAUAUCAGGGAGACGGACGAGGUGAUUGUAUCCAUGACAACCAGCAGAUACAGCCUUGCUGCCUGGCAGCCCUUCCCUGGUCACCUCCUCUGCCUUCCCAGCUCCAGUGGGUCCCUCUCCUCGAGGCACCUCUUGGUGCAGUUCAGUGUUCCUGAGAAGUAGCUGACAAAUUCCCAAAUGUAGUGUGGCGAGAGCUUAAUCAGUUCUCAUGUCCAUCAGCAGAACGCUUCCCCAAUCUGAGCUGCAUCUGCUUCUGCCAAGGACUCCCUGGCAGCCCCAAAGGUGGCUUCAGGAAAUCCGGUCCAUGGAGGAACAGCAUGACUUGCAGGAGCACUGCACAGAUGCAGGUUGGGCUCAGAACCAGCAGGCAAAAUACAGCAUGCAGCCUGAAAGCAUUUCAGGUAUGCCAACCACCUUAACAAAUGCAGGAAUCAGUGAAUCGAGCAAGGCAGCAGGAUGCUCGCCUCUGCUGGAAGCGCUGGCAGAAGUUAAAUGUGUUGUUCUCUGAGCAGAGCUUCAAUCUGCACAUGUCCUUCUGGGAGGAGAGCUGCCUGCACUGCAGUCCCCGAGGAGUUCCUCACCCCACACCUGCUGGAGUGUCCCUCCUGCAUUCCAGACCUGCCCUGGAGAACGCUGCCACGUGAGGCAGUGCACAGCAGUGAGGAAUGGAAAGAAAUCUGUCACAAAAGGAAAAAGCAAUUCUGCUGCUGAAUCCAGCCAGAGCUCCUUGUUUGCAGGACUCCUGCUGUAUAUCGUCAGUGUGGUGUUUGAACCAUAAUAAGGAAAAAUGUCUCCCUGGGAUCAAAAAAAAAAAAAGUUGAUUUCUCAUCUCUUCCUCUGCACUGGAAAAACAAAGCAGAAGAGGUGAGGAAAUGAGAGCCUGAACUGAGAGCUGGGCGUUAGAAGACAGGACGUGGAGUUCAAGUUCUGUCCUGAUGAGCUAUUGAAAACAUGACUCAGUUUCCCUAUUAGUGAUGGGGUUAACAACGAGCUGAUGAGUGAAUCUUAAAAAUGCAAAGAAGGUUGCUGUAAACUCUAAUUAAAGGCCCUCUGAGUGUAUACACAAAGCAGAUUACAAGAGUCUGUCUUUGUAAAUUGCAGCAGGCAUUUGGGAUUCGGCUUGUGUGUUUUCA